rnacentral:tRNA from 1 species
CGGGGUGUGGCGCAGUUGGCUAGCGCGCCAAGGUGGGGCCUUGGAGGUCGCAGGUUCGAGUCCUGUCACCCCGA